rnacentral:rRNA from 1 species
ACCUGGUUGAUCCUGCCAGUUGUSAUAUGCUUGUCUCAAAGACUAAGCCAUGCAUGUGUAAAUAUAAACACGAUUUAGAAAAAGUGAAACUGCGAAUGGCUCAUUAAAUCAGUAAUAAUUUAUUCGGUGAAAAAGUAUUUGACUUGUAAAAGUGAAAUAUAUUACAUGGAUAACCGUGGUAAAUCUAGAGCUAAUACAUGCAUAAAGCUAUGGAGAAAAAGUUUCGAUUUUUUUGAAUAGUGCGUAUAUUAGAUAUUUGAAAACUUAUUUUCUACUUGAGCAAUUGAGUAAAUAAAAAAAAGGUGAAUCAUAAUAUUCAAAGCGGAUCGUAUAACUUUCGAGUUGACGACAAGCCGAAAAAAUUUCUGCCCUAUCAACUUAGGACGGUAGCAUAGAGGGCUACGGUGGUGAUGACGGGUAACGGAGAAUUAGGGUUCGAUUCCGGAGAGGGAGCAUGAGAAACGGCUACCACUUCCAAGGAAGGCAGCAGGCGCGAAAAUUACCCAAUCCCAACACGGGGAGGUAGUGACAAUAAAUAACAAAUGAUAUAUUUUUUAUAAAUAUAUUGUAUUGCAAUGAGAACAAUUUAAAUCCCUUAUCGAGAAUCCAUUCGUGGGCAAGUCUGGUGCCAGCAGCCGCGGUAACUCCAGCACGAAUAGUGUAUACGAAUUUUGUUGCAGUUAAAAAGCUCGUAGUUGAAAUUGAAAAUAAAUUAAUAUUAUUUUUUAAAAAAUAUUUAUUUUUUAUAGAGUAUUAAUUUAUUUUUUCUUUAAAAAAAAAAGUUGUAAUGAUUUUUUUUUUUAAUAUUACUUUGAAUAAAUUAGAGUGUUUAAAGCAAACAAAUAAAAAAAUUUUUUUAUAUUGUGUUUGAAUAUAUUAGCAUGGGAUAAUAGAAAAGGACAUAUAUGUUAUAUGUUAUAAAUUGGAAAAUAGGUUUAAUAGAUAUAUGUAAUGAUGAAUAGGAACGGUUGGGGGUAUUUGUCACUGAAGUGUAAGAGGUGAAAUUCAUGGAUUACUUCAAGACAAACAUCAGCGAAAGCAUUUACCAAGGACGUAUCCAUUAAUCAAGAACGAAAGUUAGGGGAUCGAAGAUGAUCAGAGACCGUUUUAGUCUUAACCAUAAACGAUGCCGACCAAGGAUAAUAGGUCGUUGCAUGGAUGACUCCUAUUGAACUUUUAUAAUAGUAAAGGGAAACCGUGAGUGUUUGGGUUCUUGGGGAAGUACGAUCGCAAGGUUGAAACUUAAAGGAAUUGACGGAAGGACACCACCAGGUGUGGAAUCUGCGGCUUAAUUCGACUCAACACGGGACAACUUACCAGGUCCAGAUACAGGAAGGAUUGACAGAUUGAAGCUCUUUCUUGAUUCUGUAGAUGGUGGUGCAUGGCCGUUCUUAGUUGGUGGAGUGAUCUGUCUGGUUAAUUCCGAUAACGAACGAGACCUCAGUUUAUUAAUUAGUUUAAAUUUAAUAAAAUUUUUUUUAUUAAAUAUUAAUUUUCAUAAAUUGAAAAAAAAAAUAAAUUUUUAUUUUUUAACUUCUUAGAAAGACUUUUCAUAUCCAGUGAAAGGAAGUUUGAGGCAAUAACAGGUCUGUGAUGCCCUUUAGAUGUUCUGGGCUGCACGCGCGUUACAAUGAAGAUAUCAACGGGUAAAAAAAAGAAUAAAUUUUAAUUUAUUUUUUUUAUUCCUUUAUAGAAUUAUAUGGGUAAACCUUUUCAACCAUCUUCGUGCUGGGGAUUGAUGAUGUAAUUUUUCAUCAUGAACGAGGAAUACCUAGUAGGCAUAAUUCAACAAAUUAUACCGACUCUGUCUCUGUCCUUUGUACACACCGCCGUCGCUUUCUACCGAUGAAUGAUCCGGUAAAAAAUUGGGAUUAUAAAAAAAAAAAAAAAAUUUUUUUUUUUUUUUGUAAAAACUUAUUUAAACCUUGUCAUUUAGAGGAAGGAGAAGUCGUAACAAGGU